AAUGCUAGGUAUGAGUUAUGGCUAUCAGUGGCCACUCGUGAAAUGAGAUAGAGAACGGAAUGCAGCCAAGGAUGACUUGCCGGUACGUGUAUGCAUGUUUCAAGGUACUAUAUGUGCCCCCAACUGUUUUAGAUCCAUGCUGACAUUUUCCGGCAAGUUGUCCUUGGCUACGUCUUGUUCUUUUUCUCUCACGUGAGGCCAUUGCAUGGUUUGCAUUUAGCUUCCAGGUC
rnacentral:misc_RNA from 1 species